rfam:Bacillus sp. B-jedd genome assembly, contig: CONTIG000001
AGCCUUACUUUUAAUAUCACUCGUAUAAUGGCAGGGAUAUGGCCUGCAAGUUUCUACCGGAUUACCGUAAAUGAUCCGACUAUGGGUGGCGAUGGAUGGAUG